rnacentral:rRNA from 1 species
GACGAACGCUGGCGGCGUGCCUAAUACAUGCAAGUAGAACGCUGAAGGAGGAGCUUGCUUCUCUGGAUGAGUUGCGAACGGGUGAGUAACGCGUAGGUAACCUGCCUGGUAGCGGGGGAUAACUAUUGGAAACGAUAGCUAAUACCGCAUAAGAGUAGAUGUUGCAUGACAUUUGCUUAAAAGGUGCAAUUGCAUCACUACCAGAUGGACCUGCGUUGUAUUAGCUAGUUGGUGGGGUAACGGCUCACCAAGGCGACGAUACAUAGCCGACCUGAGAGGGGGAUCGGCCACACUGGGACUGAGACACGGCCCAGGAUCCUACGGGAAGCAGCCGUAGGGAAUCUUCGGCAAUGGACGGAAGUCUGACCGAGCAACGCCGCGUGAGUGGAGAAGGUUUUCGGAUCGUAAAGCUCUGUUGUAAGAGAAGAACGAGUGUGAGAGUGGAAAGUUCACACUGUGACGGUAUCUAACCAGAAAGGGACGGCUAACUACGUG